rnacentral:rRNA from 1 species
CAUACAGCUCAGUAACACGUGGCUAAUCUGCCCUUGGGACGAGAACAACCCCGGGAAACUGGGGCUAACUCUCGAUAGGCGAAGAACACUGGAAUGUGUCUUCACCCAAAAAGCUUCACGUUAUCCUCGUGAAGUCGCCCAAGGAUGAGGCCGCGACCGAUCAGGUUGUUGGUGAGGUAAUGGCCCACCAAACCUAUAACCGGUGCGGGCCGUGAGAGCGGGAGCCCGGAGAUGGGCACUGAGACAAGGGCCCAGGUCCUACGGGGCGCAGCAGUCGCGAAACCUUUGCAAUACACGCAAGUGUGACAGGGUCAUCCCGAGUGCCGACCGCUGAGGUUGGCUUUUACCCAGUCUAGAAAGCUGGGGGAAUAAGGAGAGGGCAAGUCUGGUGUCAGCCGCCGCGGUAAUACCAGCUCUCCGAGUGGUGUGGACGUUUAUUGGGCCUAAAGCAUCCGUAGCUGGCUGAACAAGUCCCCUGUUAAACCCACCGAUUUAAUCGUUGGUCUGCGGGGGAUACUGCUCGGCUAGGGGACGAGAGAGGCAGACCGGAUUCCCGGGGUAAGGGGUGAAUCCUAAUAUCCCGGAAAAACCACAUGUGGCAAAAGCUGUCUGCCAAAACGCGCCCAAACGGUGAUGGAUUAAAUCUUGGGGAACCAAACCG